rnacentral:rRNA from 1 species
AUUGAAAGCUGGCGGCAGGCCUAACACAUGCAAGUCGGACGGUAGCACAGAGGAGCUUGCUCCUCGGGUGACGAGUGGCGGACGGGUGAGUAAUGUCUGGGGAUCUGCCCGAUAGAGGGGGAUAACCACUGGAAACGGUGGCUAAUACCGCAUAACGUCGCAAGACCAAAGAGGGGGACCUUCGGGCCUCUCACUAUCGGAUGAACCCAGAUGGGAUUAGCUAGUAGGCGGGGUAAUGGCCCACCUAGGCGACGCUCCCUCGCUAGUCUGAGGGGAUGACCAGCCACACUGGACCGUAGACACGGUCCAGGCUCCUACGGGAGUCAGCAGUGGGGAAUAUUGCACAAUGGGCGCAAGCCUGAUGCAGCCAUGCCGCGUGUAUGAAGAAGGCCUUCGGGUUGUAAAGUACUUUCAGCGGGGAGGAAGGCGGUGAGGUUAAUAACCUCACCGAUUGACGUUACCCGCAGAAGAAGCACCGGCUAACUCCGUGCCAGCAGCCGCCGUAA